UNUGCCAGCAGCCGCUGUAGACGUAGGGGGCGAGCGUGCCCGAAGUUUACUGGGCGUAAAGCGCACGUAGGCGGCUUCGUAAGUCUGGUGUGAAAUCUCACGGCUCAACCGGGAGGCUGCACCAGAUACUGCGGAGCUCGAGGACGGGAGAGGAGAUUGGAAUUCCCCGUGUAGCGGUGAAAUGCAUUGAUAUCGGGAGGAACACCAGUGGCGAAAGCGGAUCUCUGGCCCGUUGCUGACGCUGAGGUGCGAAAGCUGGGGGAGCGAAAGGGAUUAGAUACCCCUGUAGUCCCAGCCCUAAACGAUGGGCGCUAGGUGUUGGGGGAUUAACCCUCAGCGCCGUAGCAUACGCAUUAAGCGCCCCGCCUGGGGAGUACGGCCGCAACGUUGAAACUCAGAGGAAUUGACGGGGGCCCGCACAAGCGGUGGAGCAUGUGGAUUAAUUCGAUACAAACCGAAGAACCUUACCUGGGCUUGACAUCCACGAGCAACGCCUAGAAAUAGGCGCCUCGGGAAACUGACCCGUGGACACCGGUUGCAUGGCUGUCGUCAGCUCGUGCCGGGAGGUGUU
rnacentral:rRNA from 1 species